AGUGAACGCUGGCGGCGUGCUUAACACAUGCAAGUCGAACGGUAACAGGAACUAGCUUGCUAGUUUGCUGACGAGUGGCGCACGGGUGAGUAAUAUAUAGUUAAUGUACCCCAAAGACUGGGAUAGCCACUGGAAACGGUGAUUAAUACUAGAUACACCUCUUUAAUAUAAGUUAGAGAGGGAAAUGUUUUUUCGCUUUGGGAUCAGACUAUAUCCUAUCAGUUAGUUGGUGAGGUAAUGGCUCACCAAGGCAAUGACGGGUAGCGGUUCUGAGAGGAUGAUCCGCCACACUGGUACUGAGACACGGACCAGACUCCUACGGGAGGCAGCAGUGAGGAAUAUUGCACAAUGGGGGGAACCCUGAUGCAGCAACGCCGCGUGGAGGAUGACGCAUUUCGGUGUGUAAACUCCUUUUAUAUGUCAAGAAAUGACGGUAGCAUAUGAAUAAGCACCGGCUAACUCCGUGCCAGCAGCCGCGGUAAAGU
rnacentral:rRNA from 1 species